GGUGGCUCAGUGGAAGAGCACUUGCCUUGCAUGCAUGAGGCCCUGGGUUCGAUUCCCCAGUACCA
rnacentral:tRNA from 1 species